rnacentral:rRNA from 1 species
AUGUCUUCUCAGGAUAGAGAACAUGAAUCCGGGUACCAAAAGCGAUUGAAAAAACAAAAAACAGAGAAGUUAGGUCGAUUACAGAAAGGAGCCAUGGAUAAGUUUGUUGCGAAAGAACCACACGUGUCCUCUAAUAAUCAAUCACAAGAUCAAGGCUUCACGGUUGAUAAUAAUGUUGACAAUGAUCAUAGAGAUGAACAAGCAAAUAAAGAAAAUAAUGAUGAGGUUGAUGAUGAUCUUAUUGGUAACACAAAUAUUGAUAUGGAUAAUAAUGGUGAUGACAUCAGGACAACUAGUAUUGAUGUUAACUCAAAUACUUCACCUGUUGCGGAUGUCGGCGGUUCUUUUCAUGUUGAUAUAUUUGAUCCAAGAAACUGGGGUUCUCUUGAUCCUAAGCAGAUUGACAAUUUAGGACAAAAGGGCCCUCAAAGAGACUCACAAUCUCAGAAAGGUCCUAAGGAUAGAUAUUCUAGCAGGUUUUCUGCACUAUUCUAUACUAGAAUUAUGUCAAAUGGGGAGCAUUGCGAUAGAGAUUGCCUAUUGCAAAAGCAUCAAACUAUUGAUAAAGAUGCUCAAGGUCAACUUGAGAAUGAAAAGGAGCACUGGAGAAAUUUUUUGUCUAGAAUUCUUUGCAUUAUUAAAUUUCUUGCCAAGCAUAAUCUAGCCUUUCGUGGUAGUAACAGCAAACUGUAUGAAGACAACAAUGGGAAUUUCUUGGAACUAGUAGAGAUGUUGGCUGAAUUUAACACAGUUAUUCAAGAGCAUGCUUGUCGUAUUACAAAUGAAGAAACUCAUGCUCAUCAUCUUGAUCAUAAGAUUUAGAAUGAGUUGAUACACUUGCUUGCUUCAGCUAUUAAAUUUGAGAUUGUUAAGAAAAAAAUGCAAUUCUAUAAGAUAACAUAGAUAGGAGUGACGCUCAAGUUAGUAUCAGCAACACGUUGGGAGAGUUGUGUCAACAAUGUUAAAGCUAUCAUAUUUCAAUGUGCAGCCAUUUGGGAGGCUCUACUUUUAGUUAUCUGAAACUGAUAAUGAUAUAAAACGAGCAGCAAGGCAAAAGGUUUGGCAAAUAAUGAACCUGGGGAGUAUGAACUUAUAGUGGCAAGAGUAAUUUGGUCUGAGGUAUUAUAUGUUGUUAAUUUAGUAAGCAAACACUUGCAAGCAAAGGAUAUGCUUAUAGAUGUUGCUAUUGAGAAAGUGAAAGAGUUGAUUAUUAUUUUCAAAAGGUAUAGAGAAAGUGGCUUUUUAGAAGCAUUGGAGAUGGCCAAAAAAAAUUGCACCUGAUAUGGUUAUUAGUACAACAUUUCAUGGAAGACGAGGAAUUAAAAGAGACAUUUUGAUGAGAACCCAGAGGACACAAAUGUUCCCACAUAGUCUGCAGAGGAAUCAUUUAGAAACGGUUAUUUUACAACUAUUGUUGAUCAAGCAAUUAUGUCACUUACAAGCAGAUUUGAACAAUAUGAGGUUAGCAAAAAGAUUUUCUUUUUAUUUACUUUCAAAUCAUUGUAGUCAUUGGAUAAUGAGAGCUUGAAAUCUUGUGUUGGAAUUCUAAAGUUUUUAAAGUGACAUGAUUGUAUUCCCAAUGCAGGUGUUGCAUACAUAGUUCUAUUGACCAUUCCUGUGACUGUUGCAUCAGUAGAAAGAAGCUUUUCAAAAUUGAAGCUAUUGAAGUCGUAUUUGUGUACUACAAUGACACAACAAAGGCUUACUGAUUUGGCCACAAUAGCACUUGAGAGUGAAGUGUUGGAGAACAUUGAUUACGAGGAUAUUGAAGAUUUCAUUUUAAAGAACACUAAAAGAAUGUUGUUAUUCAAGUAA